UUGCAGUUAAAAAGCUCGUAGUUGGACCUUGGGCAGGAGGCACGGGUUGGCCGAAUGGCUCGACUCGGGUCUCCGGCCUCUAUGGGUGGUCGUGCCUUUGGUACGGUUCGCCCGGGUUACUGUGAAGAAAUUAGAGUGUUUAAAGCAGGCGAUUGCUUGGAUACAUCAGCAUGGAAUAACAAGAUAGGACCUGGUUCCACUUGUUGGUUUGGGGGCUUUGGUAAUGAUUAAUAGGGCCAGUUGGGGGCAUUAGUAUUCAGUAGUCAGAGGUGAAAUCCUUGGAUUUACUGAAGACUAACUAGUGCGAAAGCAUUUGCCAAGGAUGUUUUCAUUAAUCAAGAACGAAAGUUAGGGGAUCGAAGACGAUCAGAUACCGUCGUAGUCUUAACUAUAAACGAUGCCGACUCGGGAUCGGCAGACGUCGUUAGCGACACUGUCGGCACCGUGUGAGAAAUCAAAGUUUUUGGGUUCUGGGGGGAGUAUGGUCGCAAGGCUGAAACUUAAAGGAAUUGACGGAAGGGCACCACCAGGAGUGGAGCCUGCGGCUUAAUUUGACUCAACACGGGAAAACUCACCAGGUCCCGGACAUAGUAAGGAUUGACAGAUUGAGAGCUCUUUCUUGAUUCU
rnacentral:rRNA from 1 species